rnacentral:rRNA from 1 species
AGGGAAUAUUAAAAAUGGACGAAAGUCUGAUCUAGCAACACCGCGUGUGCGAAGAAGGCCUUUGGGUCGUAAAGCACUUUUUGGAAGGAAUAGGAAGGAAUGUACUUCCAGAAUAAGUCUCGGCUAACUACGUGCCAGCAGCCGCGGUAACACGUAGGAGGCAAACGUUAUCCGGAUUUACUGGGCGUAAAGCGCGUGUAGGUGGUACUGUAAGUAGGGCGUGAAAGCUCCUGGCUCAACUGGGAGAGGCCGUUCUAAACUACAGAACUAGAGGAUGGUAGAGGGAGGUGGAAUUCCAGGUGUAGCGGUGGAAUGCGCAGAUAUCUGGAGGAACACCGGUGGCGAAGGCGGCCUCCUGGACCAUUCCUGACACUCAGACGCGAAAGCUAGGGUAGCAAACGG